rnacentral:sRNA from 1 species
AUAUAUUUCCCAAAGUGGGAAAUAGAAAAGCUCAGCGGUAGGAGGCUGAGCUUUUGAGAACGCGUUAUAAGAAGAACGCGUUGAUAAUUGCUGUGAGCAACUGAACGAAUGCAGUUAACAGCUCUAUCAUACUGACCUCCUUAUUAGGUUGGUUUGAGAUACACAAACCCUAGCGCAUUUAUGCUCUGGGGUUUUUU